UAAAGGGGCACUUACCACUCAUUAGGCGAUCAGCCGCAAGGCCCUUCACCUCCACAGAUAUGAUAUCCCAAAAAGAUUAGAAGAUCCCCUAGAACAUGUCCGGUCCCGGAACCUUAGUCCCGCCUAUAUUAAACACCGCCUCAUUUAUUUCCAAAUCUAAAAUUGGGCUACACAAGUUCCCGUUCAUGUCCGCAGUCACCAUCGGAUCCAGGCAAGUGAGAAUGUCACCCUAAUCACGAUGACCAUUAGAAGUGAUAAGUUCUUAAAAUGUUCUUCCACCGUCUGUUUAACCCCGUUGGGCUCCUCUCUCCAAACUUCAUCACUGUCCCGAAUUUUUGUUAUACCGAAGCCUUUAGACCGUAGAUUGAUCGAAGAAAGCAGUGUUAAAGUCAACGGUUUGCAGCCACCGGACACGCGAUCGGAAUGUCCAGUAGAAUUCCUCCUGUUCUUCAAGAUGGUUGAUGGCUUCCGACACCGCAUUGAUUUCACUACUGUUCUCCACCCAAUUCAUUUAGAGGAUCCCUAAGUGGUAGUUAAGCUUUUCUAUCUCUUUUUUCCUGGCUUUGAAUUUAUCUGAGCUCCACAUUUUGAGCCUUCUCUUCGUGAUAUGUAGUUUUCGCAGCCAAUUGUCCAUCCACUUGCCGGGACAUCUCGUUCUCCAAUUUUUCUCAAUGACCUCCUUACACCAAAAUGCCUGAAAGAGGAAAGUCGGUUUGCAUAUGGGGGUCAAUGGGUCAAUGUUGAUGAUAAGCGGGCAAUGGUCCACCCUAGCAUUUCCAUGAAUGACCAAGGUAUUUGGCCACUGAAUCUGCCAUUCCCCAUUAACAUCCCACGAUCAAGCCUUUCCUGCACUAGGUUCUCAUUCCAAGUUCCCCCAAAGUGAAAUUGGGUCCAGAGAAACCAAGGUCCAAGAGUUUCAUUCGGUUCAUAAAUAAUUACAGAAAU
rnacentral:lncRNA from 1 species